rnacentral:rRNA from 1 species
UACGUAGGGUGCAAGCGUUAAUCGGAAUUACUGGGCGUAAAGUGUGCGCAGGCGGCCGCGCAAGUCGAGUGUGAAAUCCCCGAGCUUAACUUGGGAAUUGCGCUCGAAACUACGUGGCUGGAGUGUGGCAGAGGAAGGUGGAAUUCCACGUGUAGCGGUGAAAAUGCGUAGAUAUGUGGAGGAACACCGAUGGCGAAGGCAGCCUUCUGGGCCAACACUGACGCUCAUGCACGAAAGCGUGGGGAGCAAACAGG